CAAAAAGAAACCGAAAAAGGAAUAUCACCUGGUUCAAUCCGCCCUACAGUAAAAACGUGAGAUCCAACAUUGGUAAAGAUUUUCUACACCUCGUAGAUAUUCACUUCCCUAAGUCAUCUGCCCCCCAACAAAAUUUCCAACAGGAAUACCAUCAAAGUGAGCUAUAGUUGCAUGAAAAACGUGAAAUCCGUGAUAUCCAGCCAUAACAAAAAGAUCCUUUCAAAAGCGCCAUCACCAGUACCACCUCCCCCAUCACCAUCUCCCCCAUCACCAACGUUAACGCCAACACCACCAUUAAAACCAACACCAACACCUGUGCCACCCACCAACAAAACAUGCAACUGCAGAGAUAAGAAUACGUGUCCUCUCAACAAGAAAUGCUUAACCAAAGGCAUUGUCUACCAUGCAAAGAUCGCAGCAGAGGACAACGGAGAAACAAGGCACUAUAUUGGAAUUACGGCUACAACUUUCAAGGAGCGUUUUAGGAACCACCAGAAAUCGUUCAACAUCGCUACGUAUGCAAACGACACUGAACUGUCGAAGUACGUAUGGAGUUUAAAGAAAAGCAAUCGCCCA